UACCAGCACCCCGAGUGGUCGGGACGUUUUAUUGGGCCUAAAGCAUCCGUAGCCGGUUCUACAAGUCUUCCGUUAAAUCCAACUGCUUAACAGGUGGGCUGCGGAAGAUACUAUAGAGCUAGGAGGCGGGAGAGGCAAGCGGUACUCGAUGGGUAGGGGUAAAAUCCGUUGAUCCAUUGAAGACCACCAGUGGCGAAGGCGGCUUGCCAAUA
rnacentral:rRNA from 1 species